UCCACACAACUCGGACAAAGCCCUGACCGCUUUCUGUUUUAAAGUGGAGUUGCAGUCUUAUGCUGCAUACGUUUACGGCACCACACCGACAUCGAGCUACCAGUGCAGUUUCAACACGGUAGGCAGCACAAGUGUUUACAACAGCGCGUGUCUAAGCAUUUUUUUUUCUCCCAGGUGACUUUUCUGCGCGUGGCCCGUUCGACCCUUCCAAAACGUUUCGCAACUAAUCCGCUAGGGCAGGGCACAUGCGCCAUCGCGGCAUGAAAAAGUGGCGGUACAAGUUAACCCUUGUGAAGCUUGCGCGUCUACUCCGCCGUGGCGGCUGUUACUGUUGCCGACAGUGGGACGGUGCUGUCAUGAAAAGUGCAAACCUCUUGCUUCAACAAAUCUCCAAAACUGGAUGUUAUGCCACCUCCAGCACUCGGGGAGGCAGAGCCCAAGAAGCUACAGCCAUCUAGCCACAGGAUGGCAUCAUCACCAUCUGGCCACCAUCAAGCACCAAGUGUCACUGCACAGGUGCCGCGACCCUUGUGACCAGUGUUGUUAUAUGACCCUCGGACUAUCAUCUCUCAUAGCACAUGGGGGGGUGCAUUCCCACACAGACUGGAGGCCAUUUUGGUGUUGCUUUUGCUCUUGGAGCUUUUCACAGACGGGAGAUCUCAAGUUGCACUUGUGCAUCCAGAUGGGCAAGUGACCAUUCCUCUGCCCAGUCUGCUGUAUCUCCUUUGUGUGGGCUGCUCGCCUGAACGGUUUUUUGUGAGCGCAUCACUGUGCUACCACAGAGAAGCAGAACACCGACUUUGUAUGUGGACAUGGUUCAUUAACGAGGGAUAAAUGAAGUUCUGCUACAUAUGCGGUAUGCUGCAUAGCGCUCUGGUAUGUUGGCGAGCAGAAAUGUAACCAUGUACUAUAAUAUGUUAUAAUAAUAAAAUAAAUAAUAUUUUAAAAUGGUGCAGCAAAACUAAAGAAGCUGUUGAGACACUGCUGUGGCCAGUUAAGGUUGUUCCACUGAUUUCCCAGUGCCUUAGUAUAGUGGGUGGGGCACACAUAAAUAUAGACAGCCAUGAUAUUACGCUUUAUUUGAACACUGAUACAUUGAAAGGUGUAAGCGAAAGAAAAGCUUGCUAUGUCAAAAAUUGUUUAUACAGAAAUACUGCAAAGCAAGCCGUUUUUGCAAAUUCAGACAUUUCCUGUAAUUGUUGGAGGUUGCGGCAAACAUAAGCUUACUGAAUGGUGCAUCUAAGGUUUCUAAAUUGCACGGCUUUGUGAAAGGACAUGCUUCAUACCACGGCAUUGUUAGGACAUGCACAGGUGCAAAGCACAAGUACCUGAUCUGCCAUCAUUACUAGACUUAACUGGCACUCUUUGCUGAAGCACUACAGCAGCAACGAGAGAAGCAACCAUAAAAAACAUUUCUUUCUUUGGGGUGUUGGGAUCUCUGGGAAUGCACUGUCAUGACGACGCACGUAGCAAGAAAAAGUCAGUGGCUUGCAGUUUCUGUUUCUUUAUUUUCUGCUUUUUUCUUUAUCAGUAUAAACGUUAAUAUAUAUUUUGUCCUAAUUUUUCUGAAUACCGGUAUCCUUUGGAAUUUUAUGCAUGCCACUUGGCAUUGCUUUGUUUGGUUUUGAUUCUUCAUUUUUGUGUCUAGAGUGUUAAUAUUGCACAACAAUGUAAUUUGUUUAUAUUUUCUAUGGAUCAGCAUACAGUGAGCUUUGCUGUAUGCUGUUCACUAUGUGCAGUGAAAUGUGUUGCAGCUAGUGAAAUGUGUUGCAGCUAGUAUUCAGUGCAAGUAACCUUUUUAUCUAUCAACAUACGGUAUGAAGUCUCAAGAAAGUCUCAAGAACCUGAGUUUGCAAAUAAGAGUUUAUUUACUAUACUUAUACCAAAUAAUGCUGCCUUCUGUCACCUGCUAUUGAUGGGUGUGUUGCUCAGUGGCUAUGGUGUUAGGCUGCUGAGCACGAGGUCACUGGAUCGAAUCCUGACCACGGCGGCUGCAUUUCGAUGGGGGCGAAAUGCGAAAACACCCGUGUACUUAGAUUUGGGUGCACGUUAAAGAACCCCAUGUGGUCGAAAUUUCCGGAGUCCUCCACUACGGCAUGCCUCAUAAUAAAAGUGGUUUUGGCACGUAAAACCCCAUAAUUUUAAUUUCAGAACACAUGAGUCAACUUACACUUCAUUUCAAGCAGUCAGUCAAGAUAUCUGCUUGAAUUAAACUGACAGUUCGUGCUUACAGAAAGGGGCAAGAGACACAGAUAGAACUUUAGUAAUCUGCAUACAUUUUUGGGGGGUUCCCACAGCAGACAAGCGAAGCACAGUGUACUUGCUUGACGAACAAUCGGAUACGACUUAUGUCGCAAUAUCUUGGUUUAUGGUCAACAAGCAGUUGUGUUAGACUUAUUGGCAAAGGUAAUUCUCUACCAAACUGCAUAAUUAUUGUAUUCCUUCUCUUCUUGAAGACUAUGGCAUUUAAUGUAAAGUUAUAGGCACGAUUAUUUUACCACGUCAGUUGCCACACUCUGUACCUUGCUGCACCAAAGAUUGAGAGAGUGGCUGUAAAAGCUCACUUCUGGUAUGUUAGAGUGCUUCCACUUUUAUCACUGACAUUUCAAAAAAUAAAAAUAAAGUAUCUUAAUCCAACAGUGUCUUAACGAGGUCAUCACACUGUCUGCAUUCAGUAAAUUCCAAAACAAAAUUUUAAAACCCGGUUGAUUCUUCCAGUGUAUAGCCAGCGGGAAAGCAAAAUCCGUGGAGAAUGGAGAAUCGAGGUAGAAAGUGGAUGGGGAGAAGAGUGUUCUUACAUUCCAUGAGCAAGGUACAGCUGGUUGUGUUGGCAUGUACUGAUGAGGUGGAGUCUUUGCAAUGGCCUGUACCGUGUUAUUCAGUCUAGUGCAUAUGUCAUGUAGUGGGAGUUCAAAAUAAACAGGCAGUGUUCUCAUUGUUUUAGUGGUAUCGUCAAGGGAACUUUUGCACUGCUUGAUAAAAACAACUUAAUCAAAAUAUUCAGAUCCUGUAUAUGUAGGUUCGACUGUGCUCGCAGAAAUAAUAUCAAACCUUUCAAAGGGACAUGUAGCUGUGCAAAUAUGUAAUUUCACAUUUAAAAAUUAUUGUAUGUUUGUGUUUACAGAAGAAUGGCUGACUUCAUAUUGCUAUUCUAAACUACCAAGUUCCUAACUCACAGUAUUGUACUAUAAUGUUGAUUAUACAAAGAUAUUAUACGGUGUUUGGACACUUGCUUGUGUCAGUGAUGCAUUGUGUUUCAGAGCUUUUGAAGCGGCUUGCCCUAUGAACCUCUUUAAUUCCUUUCCCCAGUGCUUUCCUUGGCUUGAUCUCUGCUAGCUUCAUGUUGUAACUAGCAGAGAAUGGAGCCCAUCCGUUCUCUUUAUUUUUGUCAUGCAAGGAUGCCAAAUACUUUAUUCAAUACUGUGGACUGAGAAAUGCAUUCUUAUUGCGACAUUAUAGUGAGAACAAAUUGGCAGCAGUAAGUCCAAAAUGAUUUUUGUAGUAGUUAGAAUAAAAUGCAGGUUGCUGUACAGCAACAGAAUUCUUUUCCUAUGUGUUGACUGUGGCUAUGUGGCAUUAAAACAUGAGUAAAUACUGUAUUUACCUGAUUCUAACACACCCCCAAAUUUAACGCAAACCCAAUUUUUGCGGGUUCAAUGUAAGAAAAUAGAGGUGCUUCUGAACGUAACAUGCCCCCCCCCCCCACGUUCGCUAUCAGAAAAACUUGAGGUAAAUGCAGGACAUGGUUAGAGACUCCCCCGGGACAUUCAAGCACUUGCCCGAUGACGAAAGCACUCGGUUAAAUUCUGUCACUAGUACUCAACCAUUCGUUGCAAAAAACAUCCUUGUAUUGUAUUAUAAGACGAAAUAAACUGCUACUUUUCCCGUUCUAUUUUAUUCUUUAGAAAAAUAACUCGUUGAAAUUACCCUUGACAAUGACGCGGGCGGUUGAAAGGUUUCAAUACCACUCGGCUUCGCGCUGCCCACACUUUCGCGUUUCACUAGUUUCGUUAUCGCCUAGUGCUGCACUGGUUUUGUUGGCUCGCGAAACUCACUCAAGCUGCAAGUAGCAGAGAAUUCAACUUCCAUGUGAUGUCGCAGGAUGUCCAAACAGUCUGCGCCGCUUGACCAAAAUAUAGCUGCAGCAACGAAUCCACCACUCUGUCUUGGCUCGGUAGUGCCGUCUGUCGAGCAGGGUUUUACUCACCAAUAGCAGCAAAAGGUGAUGAUGGCGUAAUCAAUGUAACCACUCCCCCAGUUGGGUGGUGGGAAAUUAGAAUUUCUAGAAAAGCAUUCAGACCCUUCAGAUGCAAUUUUCCCGCAAACUAAGUCUUUUCUUGGCACGAAACAAGCAUUGCGAGGGUUCUGGAAUCGUAUUUAAAAAGUCCACGUUGACUUAGUAUUUGCCUUUAGUGUCCCUUUAAUGAAAGUGGCAUGUCAUUGUCUGCAUUGUUGCUUUAUUAAAGGCCACAGAUACUAAGUAUUCUCAGGCGAUCACAUUUAGAGAUAGUCUACGCUCGUUACAAUGGACCCACUUAUGACAGACUCGGUUAUAACGGACCAUAUUUCAGCCUUAGUUUGUUCUACCUGUUUUAUUAAUGCAACGAAGUUCGCUUCUAACGGACCGCACUACUACGGACUGUUGGCUACAGUGAACCAUAUUUUGAAAGCGAUCUGCAAUGUGGACAAAGCACGCUCAGUGCCAGUAGCUUCGUAUGUGCUGUGCUUUUGAUGUUUAGUUCAUGUUGAAGCGAGAGACAGCAAGAAGGACAAUUCGCUCGGGGCUGCUGCCGCGCUUAUCUUGCUUAAUUGGCUAUCGCAAUCGAUGUUUCACCUUUCAGGUGAAACUGCGACUUUGUUUUUUACUUUGGACUUUCGUCACUCACUUUUUGCAAUAAAGUUCUUAAACAUUGCGACGAAAGUUUCGGAUAUUACGGACUUCGGAUAAAACGGGCAUAUUUUGUUGGAUUAUCAGGGACCGUUGUAACGAGAGUCGACUGUACUACUAUCACUUUUGCUAGGUUUUACCUGACUCUGCAUUGUACUUGUUUAAAUACCGUAUUUACUCGAAUAAUGACGCACUCUUUUGUCAAAAAAAUUGGCGCGAAUUCAGGGGUGUGAUCAUUACACGGGUUAAAUUUCCUGCGAAAAGAAAAAUUUUUCAUCCCGCGUUUUCUGCGGGAUGACAACGGGUCAACAAAUAGGUGGCUGCUGCUGUAAGUAGUGCGGGACACCAAAACAAAAAUGGCAGCCGGUGGAGCAAGCUGAACGCGAUUUUUUUUUUGUUCUCGUGAGGACAUGACAUGCAUUGAAACAGUUCCUUCCGUAUCAGUAAUGAAUAAUAUUAAUAUCGGCAAGUUUGCGGCAAUAAUGUAGCCAUGUCCACUUUGAGGGGACAGAAACAGAUGGGCGCGCUUAGCUGCCAGUGACAUAAAAACACAGCGGGCAUGCUGUAAAAACUGCGGCAUUUGUCUUCACUACUAUCCUAAUACGGCACGUUUCCACUAAGGGUGGGCGAAUAUCUUAGCUGUGUUACAAGCUUCGGCGUAUGAAUAGGGUACGCUUAUAACGUAUCAGUGUAAAUGGGGCUACUAUCGUUUCCGCUCGCGAUUUGUUGCGUGCCCACGAGUGCAGAUGAGAAGAAUCAAAAAGCGCCUUUUUUGUUGUUGACCACAACCAUUAUAAAGCCUACACAUAAUAAAGGCAAGUUUGGUUGUACCUUUUUUUGUCAUGGAAGUGCGGAAAGUGAUGAAAGGAAUGAAAUGGUGCAUCUACUUAAGAAUGUUUGGUGCAUGCAGACCGCUUGGUUUGUCUUGGAAGAGUCGUUCGCAUAGCAUUCUACAGAUGGUAAGCACGAUAAUUAUUAGCUAGACUUGGCACACAACAUAUCGCUGUGGCAAGUUCGGGGUACGAUCAUUACACGGGAAAUAAAAAAAAUUGAAUUUGGCGACAAAAUUCAGGGGUGCGAUCAUUACGUGAGUAAAUACGGUGUGCAACCGACAGUGUUCCUGGCACUGCGUGCAGAUGGCAAGUGCGGUGUAGCACCAGAAACACUGGCAGCUGUAUAUACCACCGCAUCUGGUGCUGAGUCGUGAGAAAUCUCACGAAAGUGAUAGUGCCCAUAUUUCCUGGACUACAAAUUACACCUUUUUGUAAGUAUAAUUGAUAUGUAAGUUGUGUCAGUGUAUCAGACGUGCUUAUCUCACUUUGGUCGACAUGAUGAUGCUUGAUUAUGCGCACUUGCACACUCAUCGCAAAAAUUCCAUACUUACCUAUUUCAGGGCACUAAAAAAAAUCAGGGAGGCCAAGUGGGUUGCCACUGUGCUGCCUGCAUGGUGAGCCCAAGGAGCUAACAUCUAUCGCCACAAUCAUUCCACUGUUAAUACAAAGUUCGAUUUCUUUCAAAAUGUUGCUGUGCACGACUUCUUGUUCUCUGGGGGGGGGGCACUCAUGUUGGUCUCACCCAUCUGCAUGCCUUUAUGCAUAUAGAAGUCACACCGUUGCAUAGGAUGCACUGACAAAAAUUUUGUUAAAUAGAACGGGACUUGUAGUCCGUGAAUUAUGGUAUGCAUCUCGAAAAGUAAUUGACCGAGCGUACUGCUCCAGUUCAUAGUAGAGCAUAAAACUAAACCCAUAGCAACCUUCACGAAAACGUGCUCCGUUGCCAUCUUGUGAUGGUGACGAUGCUGCGUCUGGCAGUAAGCUGUUGCCAACACUGCAAAUGUUGUUUUGGUUCUGUAUCCGAUUGUAAUGCACAGGCAAUUAUUUCUUCUGAAUGAAGGUAUGUGUUAGAUUCUGGUAAAUACAGUAUGUUGGCUACGACUGCACCAUGCCAUAGAAUAUGCUGUCUAAUGAAGCUGUACAGACAUAAGAGCAUAAAUUGUAAACCUGGAUCUCAGAUUCUACAUCAUGUAGAAUCUUUUCUACAUUUUGCCACACCUCAUUCUUUAAUUACAUUGUGUCUGCAGUUUGUUAGAAGUGACCAUGAUUUCCAUUCAGGUGUUUAGCACGACACUUUCGUUUGCUCAGCAGUAUAAAUACUUAUCCUAGCUGCCCAUUUUUAGCACCAAUUUCGGGCUGGUGUAAAACUCCUUACAUCUUCGGUACCUUUCAUGGCACUUGUAUGAGAUGCCUUUGUUAAUCUUCUGUAUUUCAGUCUGAGAGCACAUUAAUAUAUUUAGACAUUGUUAUAUUGUGAUGCCUUUUUCUCUUUCCCUCUUUUUUUUUUUUCAUGUGAUAAAUAUUGAAAGGAUAUGUGGUAGCAUGUUAACCUUGAUAGAGUCAACUUGUGCACAGUAGCAAAAGGUAUGGUAUGUACAGUGUUUGCCAAACGUAACAAAACAAAUCCACCUAGAGGUUGGAUUGCCGAGUGAUGGCUACAUUGUGUUGCACCUCUGGAGCUUCUGGUUCUAGAAAGGUCGGAAGGGUACGGAAAAGUGUUUUCCUUUUUCUCCAGAUCUGUUGGGCCGAGCAGAUCCAGUGGGUCGCUGACUGCGCUUUGCAGUCACUGAAGCAGUGUCUGCUUUGUCAAAAGCUGUACUUCCUACCAUAUAGCACUGCACCCACAUUCAUCCGCCUCGAUGCUGGUGCGGCUGAUUCAUUGCUGAUAACAUUUUUCCCCCCUCUUCACAUAUGGGCCGUUUGUACUUGGUGAAUGUUAUGUCUGUAGCCACAAGAAUAGAUAUUUAUUUCGAGCCUUCGGGUUGAGUGGCUGUAUGUCUGAACUUCUUUACACCUCUGUAAUUGCUGUCGUCAGUGUCGAAUUUGGGUGCAUGCGGAAAUGUUACCUUUUCUUUAUAAUUUUUAUUAGACAUAGUACAUUUAGCAUUUCUCAUUGAACUUAUUCUUUCAUUCUGUUCAGAUCUCCUUAUUAUAUUUUUUUCAUGUUGGCUAUCCUUCACAGCAAAUAGCUGUUUAACCUUCGUUAUCAUUUGAAUUCACUAUAUGUCUGUUUCAACCCACUGAAUAAAUGACUGUGUCUAGUGAA